GGGGAUAUAGUUCAGUUGAUAGAAUGUUUGCCUGCAUGCAAAAGGCCCUGGAUUCAAUCCUUAGCACCUCCA
rnacentral:tRNA from 1 species